rnacentral:rRNA from 1 species
GAGUAAAGCGGCGNAUCGGUGAGUAAGCAGUGAGUGAUCUACCUUCUAGUGUGGGAUAACCCUGGGAAACCGGUGACAAUACCGCAUAAGAAAGUGAAGGGAAAGCAGCAAUGCGCUGGAAGAGGAGCCCGCGGCCGAUUAGCUAGUUGGUGGGGUAAGGGCCUACCAAGGCGAUGAUCGGUAGCCGGCCUGAGAGGGCACACGGCCACACUGGCACUGAAACACGGGCCAGACUCCUACGGGAGGCAGCAGUGGG